rnacentral:rRNA from 1 species
UACCAGCACCCCGAGUGGUCGGGACGAUUAUUGGGCCUAAAGCAUCCGUAGCCGGUUCUGCAAGUCCCCCGUUAAAUCCAGCUGCUCAACAGAUGGGCCGCGGAGGAUACUACAGAGCUAGGAGGCAGGAGAGGCAAGCGGUACUCAGUGGGUAGGGGUAAAAUCCGUUGAUCCAUUGAAGACCACCAGUGGCGAAGGCGGCUCUCUGGGCUCUACCUGACGCUGAGACGCGAAAGCGUGGGGAGCAAACGGG